AGAGGGUGGAGGCAGGAACAUGGUGAGAGGCCAAGUCAGGGUCCUACUUGCUGAUGUGACAACGGGGGGCACAAGUGGAGCCCUCAUGGAUUCACUUGGGCAAUCAGCAACAUAAAAGAUGGGCGGGAAGCAUAGCCACGAUCAACUCACACUGCAGGGAGUCAUGAAUAUCACCUCCGUCUUUGACAUAUGAGGGGAGAAAUGCUCAGACCACAAAAGUGUCCUCCAACCCAGGGUCCAGGAUGGAAGAAUAAAACACUGGGCAAUUGCUGUUCCAGCAUGCCAGCAGAACACAUGGAGCAAAUGCCUUCUCUUCCCAGACCCAGGGACAAGGGAAUCUGCAUGGAGGUGCCACAGAUGGAGCAUUCUGGGAAUAUAGAGACCUGGAUUCCAGGACUGACCUUGUAAGAGUGGAAAACCUCACUUCCCUCCAGAAUCCCACCACCUCUACAAUACAUGGUUUCUGACAAACCAUCUCUGGGAAGUGAGCUGAGGAAAUUCACCCAUCGCCUCUGAUGAUCAUUGCCCAUUGAGGGGUGAACAUGACAAAUAUAUUCUCUGGGAUUUAAGAUGGUCACCUUUUGGAACCAGAAAAGAUGUCAAAGUCUGUGUCUUAGAGAGGUGCGAAAGUAUACGCUAGGACCGCAAGUCCACUCCAAAUGAUGGCAUAAGGAAGAAGAAGAGUCGAGAUAAAGACCUAGAACAUCCUUAUCUGCUAAAUGUCGCUUAGGAAAAGUCUUUGCAGACUUAACUCUGUCAGGCCACCUGUUACACACCCUGAUAGCUCCCCACACCCUUCAGUCAUUGCUUUCACACUACAGUGAGUAAUAUGUAUUGUUGGUAGGUUUAAUUGUUUAAUGUCUAUUUCAUUCUCCACAUGGAAAUCUCUAGGAGGGCAGAAACUGUGUCUCUUCCUCACCAUUUUAUCCCCAGAGCCCAGCACAGUAAUUUGCAACAUAUUAGGAACUCAGUGCAUAUCUAUUGAAUGAUUGAAUGAAUGAAAGGGAAGAAGGAAAGAAGGAAAAGUGUUCUUUUUUGGAGUACAGGCAUUUCUCUUCUGUCUAAUGAGGAGGGAUCUGCUUAAAAUGUUCCUGGUCUCUUACUCUAAGCCUUUUUCUUCCCUAAUGAAGUCAAGUGAGUUCCUUGGUUAAGGAAAGACAGUGAUUAGCACAUAUAUCUCGAUUGGGUAGAGACAAUGUAUCCAAGGUCCUAAGUAAAUGGAAUCCAUUCCCCUUAUGCUCUCUUCCACUCCAGCAUCGCAUGGCUGGGAGCUCAUGAAGCGUGUUUGCUCUGUAGGCUCAAUAUUUCCCUCCAGCAUGCUGGUCCAAGAUCUAACUUGGGGACAGGGAGUCUUAGGAAGUUCAUUGUUGCCACAUUUCUUAGCCACAUCAUGCAAAACACAUUUUAUCACUAAUUAAGGUGACUUUUUGAUCCUCAUCUACUUGUCUGCUUUUCCUUCCUCUCUUAACUGGUUUUGAAUGCGGGCACGAAACAGUAGUCUCAUUUCUUGGGCUACCUAAAACCUCAAUAGUUCUUAUGCAUAGGAAGAAUCCAGGAAAAAUCAAUAAAGACAAAAGUCAAAAAGUUUUGGCUCCAAAGAGGGAAACAUGAGAAUCAAGUCUGGAAAUAGGAAAAUAAAACUCUGAAAACAAGAGACUUUUACCCAGAGUCUGAGAGUCGAUAACCUCCUGAAAUUGUGCAAAAUAUUUUGUGGACGGGGUCCAGAGGUUUCACCAGAUUCUCAAAAAAAAAUAAAUCGCCAAAACUCCAUGUUAAAUAGCCCUACAUAGACUUUGAGUUUAUUUCCUGACAACCGGAAAUUUGGUCCCACCUUCCUAUUCUUCUCCUUGCUUGUAAUGAUCUUGCUGCUCCGCUCAUCCUACCCUUCGAAGCUCAGCUUGAGCCCAGGCCAUCCCCCAGGAAGCCUGCACUGCCUUUCCCAGCCUGCAGGCAUCUCCCCUCCUCUGGCCUCCUGGUCCCCUCAAGUCAUCUGCAUCUCCUGUUCUCUUCAACUGAACUGUGAGCUCUUGAGAGCAGGUGUUAUGUUGUUCAAUACUUGCUCUGUGUCACCCAAACUGCCUGGCAUAUGAAAUCAUUUCUGAAUCCCAUUCAUACUUUCACUAGGAUUUACUUUGCAUAUCUGCUCUGUUACUUGUCCUAAUAAGAGCCCUGUGACGUAUUCAUUAGACACAUCUUUCACAGGAAGAGAGAAGCUCAGAGAGAGUAAGCUAUUUUUGUCAAAGUCAAAAGACUAGAAACAGCAAAGCCAGGAUUCAAACUUAGGUCUCCUGAUCCCUUGUUCUGUACUUUCUUCCACUUCACAAUGCAGCUUCUCUUAGAAAAUACUGACCCAAACUUACUACAUUAGAAUUCUUCUCCAUAGGAGAAGUGUCUGUUUAGAAACACUCUCGGGUGGAUGGGUCUGAUUUUGAAUGCUCUAGGUUAGGGAGGUGGGAGAAGGAUGAGACAGUGGGGACCUGGAAAUGGCCACCCCAAGAUAUGUCUCUUUGGCAUCAGGAUUAUUUGAGACUGAUUGCUUUUGAUAAACUGGGACAGGCAAGGAGGCUCUGAGGAAUGGAACUUGCCCUUUGUUAGGACACGUUUACAUUUGUAAGGUAAAUCUCCAUCUGUAAAAGGUGCCUCCCUCUCUGUACCAGGAAGAAGAAAGGAGAUGACCUUCUCUCUAAAAACUCUUAAUCAAUACCAAAGGCAAGGACUUAAAGUCUGCAUUUUAUUGUGCUAGUCUGGUAACCUCCUGUAACUGACUUCCCUCCCCCUCCCAACGUUGGCAUUCCUUAAGGAUUAAGCAUCUUUCCUUAGGCUAGGAACCAAUUGCUGCUG
ensembl:lncRNA